GUGUACUCCACGCUGUGGGCCUGCUCUUCAACUUUAAGACAAACUGGAAGCUGGCUGUUCAACAGUAGCCAAAGCCGAACUGAAAAGUCACAAGAUUUUAGAGCAGGAAGCCAGCGUGAAGCGUCGGUAGGCAGAGCCGGCUGCGCCGCGAGCACUUGCUCCUGCCAGCCCCCAGCCCCCGCGUUCCCGGGGGGCCUCCCCACCCAUCCUUCCCGGCGGCGGAGAGACAACAGCUACGCAGAAGAGCAGCCUGGCCGCGGGUGGGAGGCUCUCCUCGCGGCUGGCGAGGCACAAUGUGGAGAUUUUUUCAUUCAUAAAACUAGCAGCCAUGGUCGCUGCGUUCCCGCCUGCCCCUCGCCGCCCGCUCGGGGGCAGGGUAGGCCUGGGUCCAGGGAAUGGGUUACGAGGGCCAACGGGCAUAGGUGGCUCGUCUUCGCGUUUCUCCAGGAAGUCCCAUUUCAUAAAUCCCGUGCGGGGUCCUCUCUCUAUUAGACGACUGACAUCGAUCGUGCAGGAGCCCUCUCGAUUGAAGAGACAAGAUGGCUUGUGGUUUUGAUCCAUAAAUAAAACCUCACCCUUUGACUCCAGGUUGUCCGACAUCUUGCUGCUGCAUUUUUCGGUCUAUCAGAUUUAGGAAGCGACUGUCAACCGUGCUAUCGCUGCAUUUGUAAACAACUGGCUUUCUAGGAUCCUGUUUUUACCCUUUUAUGGUGGCGGGUGGGAGUUAAGGGGGAAUGGGCAGGGGAGAUGAUGGCAGGGA
ensembl:lncRNA